GGGUUGUGAGGUUAAGCGACUAAGCGUACACGGUGGAUGCCCUGGCAGUCAGAGGCGAUGAAGGGCGUACUAAUCUGCGAUAAGCGCCGGUAAGGUGAUAUGAACCGUUAUAACCGGCGAUACCCGAAUGGGGAAACCCAGUGUGAUUCGUCACACUAUCAUUAACUGAAUCCAUAGGUUAAUGAGGCGAACCGGGGGAACUGAAACAUCUAAGUACCCCGAGGAAAAGAAAUCAACCGAGAUUCCCCCAGUAGCGGCGAGCGAACGGGGAGGAGCCCAGAGCCUGAAUCAGCAUGUGUGUUAGUGGAAGCGUCUGGAAAGGCGCGCGAUACAGGGUGACAGCCCCGUACACAAAAGCGCAUGUGCUGUGAGCUCGAUGAGUAGGGCGGGACACGUGGUAUCCUGUCUGAAUAUGGGGGGACCAUCCUCCAAGGCUAAAUACUCCUGACUGACCGAUAGUGAACCAGUACCGUGAGGGAAAGGCGAAAAGAACCCCGGCGAGGGGAGUGAAAAAGAACCUGAAACCGUGUACGUACAAGCAGUGGGAGCACNNNNNNNNNNNNNNGACUGCGUACCUUUUGUAUAAUGGGUCAGCGACUUAUAUUCUGUAGCAAGGUUAACCGAAUAGGGGAGCCGGAGGGAAACCGAGUCUUAAUUGGGCGUUAAGUUGCAGGGUAUAGACCCGAAACCCGGUGAUCUAGCCAUGGGCAGGUUGAAGGUUGGGUAACACUAACUGGAGGACCGAACCGACUAAUGUUGAAAAAUUAGCGGAUGACCUGUGGCUGGGGGUGAAAGGCCAAUCAAACCGGGAGAUAGCUGGUUCUCCCCGAAAGCUAUUUAGGUAGCGCCUCGUGAAUUCAUCUCCGGGGGUAGAGCACUGUUUCGGCUAGGGGGCCAUCCCGGCUUACCAACCCGAUGCAAACUGCGAAUACCGGAGAAUGUUAUCACGGGAGACACACGGCGGGUGCUAACGUCCGUCGUGAAGAGGGAAACAACCCAGACCGCCAGCUAAGGUCCCAAAGUCAUGGUUAAGUGGGAAACGAUGUGGGAAGGCCCAGACAGCCAGGAUGUUGGCUUAGAAGCAGCCAUCAUUUAAAGAAAGCGUAAUAGCUCACUGGUCGAGUCGGCCUGCGCGGAAGAUGUAACGGGGCUAAACCAUGCACCGAAGCUGCGGCAGCGACACUGUGUGUUGUUGGGUAGGGGAGCGUUCUGUAAGCCUGCGAAGGUGGCCUGUGAGGGUUGCUGGAGGUAUCAGAAGUGCGAAUGCUGACAUAAGUAACGAUAAAGCGGGUGAAAAGCCCGCUCGCCGGAAGACCAAGGGUUCCUGUCCAACGUUAAUCGGGGCAGGGUGAGUCGACCCCUAAGGCGAGGCCGAAAGGCGUAGUCGAUGGGAAACGGGUUAAUAUUCCCGUACUUGGUGUUACUGCGAAGGGGGGACGGAGAAGGCUAUGUUGGCCGGGCGACGGUUGUCCCGGUUUAAGCGUGUAGGUGUGUGUUCCAGGUAAAUCCGGUUCACUUUAACACUGAGGCGUGACGACGAGGCACUACGGUGCUGAAGCAACAAAUGCCCUGCUUCCAGGAAAAGCCUCUAAGCAUCAGGUAACAUCAAAUCGUACCCCAAACCGACACAGGUGGUCAGGUAGAGAAUACCAAGGCGCUUGAGAGAACUCGGGUGAAGGAACUAGGCAAAAUGGUGCCGUAACUUCGGGAGAAGGCACGCUGACACGUAGGUGAAGUGAUUUACUCAUGGAGCUGAAGUCAGUCGAAGAUACCAGCUGGCUGCAACUGUUUAUUAAAAACACAGCACUGUGCAAACACGAAAGUGGACGUAUACGGUGUGACGCCUGCCCGGUGCCGGAAGGUUAAUUGAUGGGGUCAGCGCAAGCGAAGCUCCUGAUCGAAGCCCCGGUAAACGGCGGCCGUAACUAUAACGGUCCUAAGGUAGCGAAAUUCCUUGUCGGGUAAGUUCCGACCUGCACGAAUGGCGUAAUGAUGGCCAGGCUGUCUCCACCCGAGACUCAGUGAAAUUGAACUCGCUGUGAAGAUGCAGUGUACCCGCGGCAAGACGGAAAGACCCCGUGAACCUUUACUAUAGCUUGACACUGAACAUUGAGCCUUGAUGUGUAGGAUAGGUGGGAGGCUUUGAAGUGUGGACGCCAGUCUGCAUGGAGCCGACCUUGAAAUACCACCCUUUAAUGUUUGAUGUUCUAACGUGGACCCGUUACCCGGGUUGCGGACAGUGUCUGGUGGGUAGUUUGACUGGGGCGGUCUCCUCCUAAAGAGUAACGGAGGAGCACGAAGGUUGGCUAAUCCUGGUCGGACAUCAGGAGGUUAGUGCAAUGGCAUAAGCCAGCUUGACUGCGAGCGUGACGGCGCGAGCAGGUGCGAAAGCAGGUCAUAGUGAUCCGGUGGUUCUGAAUGGAAGGGCCAUCGCUCAACGGAUAAAAGGUACUCCGGGGAUAACAGGCUGAUACCGCCCAAGAGUUCAUAUCGACGGCGGUGUUUGGCACCUCGAUGUCGGCUCAUCACAUCCUGGGGCUGAAGUAGGUCCCAAGGGUAUGGCUGUUCGCCAUUUAAAGUGGUACGCGAGCUGGGUUUAGAACGUCGUGAGACAGUUCGGUCCCUAUCUGCCGUGGGCGCUGGAGAACUGAGGGGGGCUGCUCCUAGUACGAGAGGACCGGAGUGGACGCAUCACUGGUGUUCGGGUUGUCAUGCCAAUGGCACUGCCCGGUAGCUAAAUGCGGAAGAGAUAAGUGCUGAAAGCAUCUAAGCACGAAACUUGCCCCGAGAUGAGUUCUCCCUGAGACUUAAAGUCUCCUGAAGGAACGUUGAAGACGACGACGUUGAUAGGCCGGGUGUGUAAGCGCAGCGAUGCGUUGAGCUAACCGGUACUAAUGAACCGUGAGGCUUAACCUUACAACGCCGAAG
rnacentral:rRNA from 1 species